UAAAUGAAAUCACCCCGUUGGCUUACAUCGGCUCUCCGGGAGACGAUUUUUUCGAACCGACGAUCUCAUUUAUCAAAAUAUAGGAAACUAGGGUUUAUAAUCUCUCCCCGUGGAAUGCGCUAGCAUCAACAUAUAUAUAGGAAAAUGGAUAGCGACGAGGAAGAUUUCGUGUUUUACGGAACACCUAUAGAACGAGAGGAGGAUGUCAGUAGCCGCAAGAAGAAGGCCAUCGCUGAGGCCUCUGGACAGUUGCGAACUCUUCCCGCAUGGAAACAAGAGGUCACAGAUGAAGAGGGACGGAGGAGAUUUCAUGGGGCAUUUACUGGUGGUUUUUCCGCUGGAUACUACAAUACAGUUGGCUCGAAAGAGGGAUGGACUCCACAGACAUUUACGUCAUCUAGGAAAAACAGAGCUGAAGUCAAACAACAGUCUCUCUUUAACUUCUUGGAUGAUGAUGAGAAAGCUGAAAUGGAGGGUCGUCUAGGAACAUCGAUG
rnacentral:misc_RNA from 1 species